rnacentral:lncRNA from 1 species
GGUAUUUAUAGACAUUUACGGAAAGUCUCGGUACCGACUGUUGACACCGACUCUGACAGGUAAAAUGAAGGGGGUCGUCUCAAAAUAAUAAAAGGUACUAAUUAAUUAGCAUUUCGAUGUAAAAUUUAGUUAAACGAGAUUCUACAUUACGAUUUUGUUUGUCUUCUGUUAACAAAUCCUGCAACAGUCUCCACAAUUUGUCUGAAUUUUUCUCUUGGGUGUCCUCCACAAAGAGUUACUGAAUAUUCGACAAGAAUUCAAUAUUCGGCAAUGAUUCUAUUUAAUUUUGACCCUUGCAUUUCUGGUGAUCAUGUUUUCUGUUGAUUUGCUGUCGCGUAAAUGGUGUAAUUACAGGAUCAAAUUGUGAAUGAAUGCUGAUU